rnacentral:rRNA from 1 species
UACGUAGGGCGCAAGCGUUAUCCGGAAUUAUUGGGCGUAAAGCGCUCGUAGGCGGCUUGUCGCGUCGAAUGUGAAAACUCGGGGCUCAACUCCGAGCUUGCAUUCGAUACGGGCAGGCUAGAGUUCGGUAGGGGAGACUGGAAUUCCUGGUGUAGCGGUGAAAUGCGCAGAUAUCAGGAGGAACACCGGUGGCGAAGGCGGGUCUCUGGGCCGAUACUGACGCUGAGGAGCGAAAGCGUGGGGAGCGAACAGG